CCGAAAUUUCGAGAAGGAAAACGAGAGAAACGGUCUGAAUUUCGUUUUCAUCAACGGCAAAAUCUGCUACUUGAUUGUGAGGGUGUUUGGAAGUCGAGAAAAUCUACUUCAAAUUCCACCGGUGAAUGGAAAAUUCGACAGCAAUUUCAUACCAUGAUCGAACAGAGAGCAGUUUUGGCAGAAAAGAAUUCUUCUAAUGGGAGAGAAACGCGAAGCUCUGAUGAAUACUUAGGUUAGUAUUCAUCCUAAAGGUUCUGAACGGAGGAUUUGUUCGUUUUUAAUUCUGUUCGUCAACGUAGACUUGGAUAUAAGCAAUCGUAAGGGUGGUGGUAAAUAUCUGUAAUAUCUUUAGUGUUGAUCCUGACCUUAUGUUCAUGGACUUAAAUUGUCAGAUUGUUUUCGGAUUAGUGCUAAUUGACUAACCACCAAUUUGUUGUCGGAUUAGUGCUGUUGUCGGGUUUCUUUGUUUCUUUUCUUUUUGUAUUGCAAUUGUGCAGUUCUUAACCAUAUGCAUUAGGCCUCCUAAAUUUCCCAUGAGCUGAAAAUUUUGAGAGGUUGGAAAAUAGUGGCUAUAAAAGAACAAAAUCUUUCUUGAA